GACAGAGGGUGCAAACGUUGUUCGGAAUUACUGGGCGUAAAGCGCGUGUAGGCGGCCAUCUAAGUCGGGCGUGAAAUCCCACGGCUCAACCGUGGAAGUGCACUCGAAACUGGAUGGCUAGAGUCCUGGAGAGGAAGGUGGAAUGCUUGGUGUAGAGGUGAAAUUCGUAGAUAUUAGGAAGAACACCGGUGGCGAAGGCGGCCAUCUGGCCUGUAAUUGACGCUGAGGCGCGAAAGCGUGGGGAGCAAACAGG
rnacentral:rRNA from 1 species